rnacentral:lncRNA from 1 species
AAAAAAUCCCAAGCAAGCAAAAUGAAUGCUACGUUUCUCGGUAACAAAUGGCCACUUAAAAAAGACUCUCCACGUGACCAAGUUCCUUGAUGUGAAAUGCAGUGCCAUUAAAGGUAAUUGUUCCUAAUAUUUUAACUUUUAACCAAAAAGUCAGGCUUGCUUUGGCCGAAAGGUUAAUAAGCAGAAAUCUUGAGUUCACAGUUCAUCAGGACGGAG